rnacentral:lncRNA from 1 species
UAUUACAAGAAAGUCACCAUCCAAGUCUAUCACAAAAUACAGAAUAAACAAGUCAAGGAUGUGGAAAAGCACAAAGGAUCAUGUGUUUGAGUAAUCCAAUGUGUUAAAAAAAUCAAUAAACUUCAUGUUGUCCUAAUCGACGAAGAAUACAAUACACUGUUUCAUUAUAUACUAAAGAGAGCAACACAAAGACAAAUUGUGGGGAUGCCAAGAGCACAAUCCUAAAAAGAUUCAACAACCCAUGUUUCUUUUCAAAGUCAACCACUAUUUGACAAAUCGACCGUGUCACGAGGCAAAGAAUAUUUACUUCCUCGGAGGCAUGUCAGUCAUGACAUGUGUCUGCUGUAUAAGUAUUUAUUUAUUUAUUUUUCUGCCGCUU